rnacentral:rRNA from 1 species
UACGGAGGGUGCAAGCAUUAAUCGGAUUUACUGGGCGUAAAGGGCGCGUAGGCGGGUAGUCAAGUCAAAUGUGAAAUUCCGGAGCUCAACUCCGGAGCUGCAUUUGAAACUGACUGUCUAUAGAGGGAUGGCGGAGAAAAUGGAAUUCCACGUGUAGCGGUGAAAUGCGUAGAUAUGUGGAAGAACACCGGUGGCGAAAGCGAUUUUCUAGCUAUUACCUGACGCUGAGGCGCGAGAGCAAGGGGAGCAAACAGG